rnacentral:rRNA from 1 species
AGCAGCCGCGGUAAUUCCAGCUCCAAUAGCGUAUAUUAAAGUUGUUGCAGUUAAAAAGCUCGUAGUUGAAUUUCGGGACCAAUUUGUUGGUCGUGCCUCGGUACGUACUGGCAUUAUUGGUUUCUCCCUUCUGAAGAACCUCGAUGCCAUUAAUUUGGUGUCGUGGGGAAUCAGGACUGUUACUUUGAAAAAAUUAGAGUGUUUAAAGCAAGCAUACGCUUGAAUACAUUAGCAUGGAAUAAUGAAAUAGGACGUUUGAUUCUAUUUUGUUGGUUUCUAGGAUCGACGUAAUGAUUAAUAGGGAUAGUUGGGGGCAUUAGUAUUCAAUUGUCAGAGGUGAAAUUCCUGGAUUUAUUGAAGACUAACUACUGCGAAAGCAUUUGCCAAGGAUGUUUUCAUUAAUCAAGAACGAAAGUUAGGGGAUCGAAGACGAUCAGAUACCGUCGUAGUCUUAACCAUAAACUAUGCCGACUAGGGAUCGGAUGAUGUAAUUUUUAAUGACUCA